CUGACUGUUCUCAAGAGUAUGUGUCAUUUCCUGUAAUUGUCAAAUGUGUGUAGACAACCUCUUUCGCAUUAUUUUCGUAGUUUAUUUAGCAACUGAUUGUAAAUUGGAUCAGUAUUGGAUCGGUAUUUGCAAAAGGACGCAUGCCCGACUGUCCAGAUCGCGAAAUGCUGCUAUUGUCUUCUGAUAAAUCAAUUACACAAGUGAUUACAAAGAGCUGAACUGUCUCAUUACAGAUAUAUAUGAUUAACGACAGUCAGAUAACUUCGGAAAUACAAUUGUCUAACCUUGUGCUUGCGAAGCCAAUGACUAACUUGUGUAAGAAAUUUGGAUGUUAUUUAAGUCAAACAGGCCAAACUACUGAUAAGCAAAACAAUAAUAUUAUCAAUCUGACGUUUUGACCGUUGAAGGACAUUAUAUCAAGUUUGAGUAGUUUAACGUUUCUUUCCAUAGUUAUUUGUAUAUUUUUACAUUUUUUAAAGAAUACUGACUUUGUUGUACCCUCAAGUGUUUUAAAAAUCAUUGUUUUAUCAUGUAGCGUGACAUCUUCUGUUAAGAGUUCAUCCGUCAGUGCGGGUAGCUUUACGCCAUUGUCUCUGCAAAAUUGUCAGACUGAAAAUAUAGCUGUUCACUGAAUGAUUGUAUAUUGUUUAAACUUUUACUUAUUCUAUCCGCUUCCUUGAUUUUAUCACAAUACGAUACAUCUGUGUCGACCGAUUGAGAUCCACUAUCAAGUUCCUUAUGAAUCAUGCAAAGCGCUUAUUCUAAUACAAUUGUAUACGCCCGUUUUAAAAAAACAGGAAGUAUUAUAGUUUCACCUUGGCGGCGGUCGGGCGGGCGGGCGUCGUCCACAGCAGUUUCCGCUCUCUAAUUCAAAUAGUUUUUAUCGGAUCUCCACCAUACUUGGUCAGAAGUUGUAUCUAGACAAUAUCUAGGUCAAGUUCGAGUAUGGGUCAUGCCGGGUCAAAAACUAUGUCACAGGUUCACUUAGUGCAUUUCAAGCAUUUAGCAUGGUGUCCGCUCUCUAAUUGAAGUAGUUUUCAUCCGAUCUUCACCAAACUUGGUCAGAAGUUGUAUCUAGACAAUAUUUAGGUCAAGUUCAAAUAUGGGUCAUGCCGGAUUUAAAACUACGUCACAUGAUCACUGAAACCAUUUCAAGCAUUCAUCAUGGUGUCCGCAUUCUAAUUAAAGUAGUUUUUAUCCGAUCUACACCAAAUUUGGUCAGAAGUUGUGUCUAGACAAUAUCUACAUGUAGGUCAAGUUCAAAUAUGGGUCAUGCCAGGUUAAAAACUAUGUAACGAGGUCACUUAUUGCAUUUGAAGCAUUUUGCAUGGUGUCCGCUCUUAAAUUGAAGUAGAUUUCAUCAGAUAUUCACCAACUUUGGUCAGAAGUUGUGUCUAGAUGAUAUGUAGGUCAAGUUCAAAUAUGGGUCAUGGUAAAGUUAUUAAGUUGUCCAAAGCCUUAAAACGGGCGUAUCUUAUGACAGUUUGGCACUCUUGUUCAACUAUAAAAUUGCCAUUGUUAUUAGUAGUAAUUUUCCUGUUAGAUACAACGACACAAUACAUAUGCCAACAUGCUAUUUUUGUCCACCCGUAAACCACUAUCUUUGGGUAAUUUACGUUACAGUCGUUUAUGUUUUUUCCACGUUCAAUUUGAUUUGUUUUGUUGAUAUAUAUUUUGUGUCCAUUUUUAGCUUUUAGUCAUUUGAAUUUUCACACACUGAUUUAAGUAGUGUGAUUUUCCACUUACUUUUGUUAAUAUUUUGAUUUUGCACACUGGCACUUUUUUUUCAUCGAUUUGUUUGCUUAGUUAAACAUAUGCAUAUACACUUUAAUAUAAAUCACCUGCUCUA